AGCUAACGCGGCGGCUAUGCCUCUAUACAUUAAAGUUCGGUACGGGCAAUUUCCAAUUCAAUCGUGGCGGACGGGUGAGGUAAGUAAGAAUUUACCUUUAGGAGGGGGAUAACAACUGGAAACGGCUGCUUAAUACCCCAUAUGCUUUCGAGUGAAAUGGAUUUCCGCCUAAAGAGAAGCUUGCGGCUGAUUAGCUUGUUGGGUAGAGUAAUAGGCCUACCAAGGGCGACGGAUCAGUAUCUGGUUUGAGAGGACGAUCGAGACGACGACUGGAACUGAGACACGGUCCAGACUCCUACGGGAGGCAGCAGUAGGGAAUUUUCCGCAAUGGGCGAAAACCUGACGGAGCAAUACCGCGUGAGGGAUGACUGCCUAUGGGUUGUAAACCUCUUUUUUCAGGGAGGAAAAACAAUGACGUUACCUGAAGAAUAAGCAUCGGCUAACCUCCGUUGCCAGCAGCCGCGGUAAGACGGAGGAUGCAAAGUGUUAUCCGGAAUCACUGGGCGUAAAGCGUCUGUAGGUGGCCUAAUAAGUCAACUGUUAAAAUCUUGGAGCUCAACUUCAAAAUCGCAGUCGAAACUAUUAGACUAGAGUAUAGUACCAGGUCAACAGGGACAUUUCCCAGUGGGAGCGGUGACAAUGCGUAGCAGCAUUGGAAAAGAACACCGAUGGCGAAGGCACUUUACUGGGCUAUUAACUUGACAACUCAAGAGGACGAAAAGCUUAGGGGUUAGCAAAUGGGCAUUAGAUACCCCAGUAGUCCUAGCCGACAACACAUGGCAUCACUACGGUGUUGA
rnacentral:rRNA from 1 species